UACGUAGGGUGCAAGCGUUAAUCGGAAUUACUGGGCGUAAAGCGUGCGCAGGCGGUUGUGCAAGACAGAUGUGAAAUCCCCGGGCUUAACCUGGGAACUGCAUUUGUGACUGCAUCGCUGGAGUGCGGCAGAGGGGGAUGGAAUUCCGCGUGUAGCAGUGAAAUGCGUAGAUAUGCGGAGGAACACCGAUGGCGAAGGCAAUCCCCUGGGCCUGCACUGACGCUCAUGCACGAAAGCGUGGGGAGCGAAACAAGGAUUG
rnacentral:rRNA from 1 species